rnacentral:rRNA from 1 species
GACGAACGCUGGCGGCGUGCUUAACACAUGCAAGUCGACAAGAGUGGCGAACGGGUGAGUAACGCGUAUCAACCUGCCCUUCAGAGGGGGACAACUACGCGAAAGCGUAGCUAAUACCGCAUACUAUUGGAGCGGCCGAUAUCGGAUUAGCUAGUUGGUGGGGUAACGGCUCACCAAGGCGACGAUCCGUAGCUGGUUUGGGAGGACGACCCGCCACACUGGGAAUGAGACACGGCCCAGACUCCUACGGGAGGCAGCAGUGGGGAAUUUUGGACAAUGGGGGAAACCCUGAUCCAGCCAUCCCGCGUGUGCGAUGAAGGCCUUCGGGUUGUAAAGCAAUUUUGGCAGGAAAGCGGUACCUGCAGAAUAAGCACCGGCUAACUACGUGCCAGCAGCCGCGGUAAUAC